GAUGAAGAACGUAGCGAAAUGCGAUAAGUAGUGUGAAUUGCAGAAUUCAGUGAAUCAUCGAAUCUUUGAACGCACAUUGCGCCCCUUGGUAUCCCGAGGGGCAUGCCUGUUCGAGCGUCAUUUCACCACUCAAGCCUGGCUUGGUGUUGGGCGACGUCCUCUUUGGGGACGCGCCUCGAAACGCUCGGCGGCGUGGCACCGGCUUUAAGCGUAGCAGAAUCUUUCGCUUUGGAAGUCGGGGCCCCGUCUGCCGGAAGACCUGCUCGCAAGGUUGACCUCGGAUCAGGCAGGGAUACCCGCUGAACUUAAGCAUAUCAAUAAGCGG
rnacentral:misc_RNA from 1 species